CGGGUGAGUAACACGUGAGUGACCUGCCUUUAGACUGGAACAACUUACCGAAAGGUGAGCUAAUGCCGGAUGAGUUAUAUAAGUGCAUGUUUAUAUAGGAAAAGUUGGGGAGACCUGACGCUGAAAGAUGGACUCGCGUCCCAUUAGCUAGUUGGUAGGGUAAUGGCCUACCAAGGCGACGAUGGGUAGCCGGCCUGAGAGGGUGGCCGGCCACACUGGGACUGAGACACGGCCCAGACUCCUACGGAAGGCAGCAG
rnacentral:rRNA from 1 species